rnacentral:rRNA from 1 species
GAUGAACGCUGGCGGCGUGCUUAACACAUGCAAGUCGAACUGACAGGCCCUGCUUUUGUGGGGUGCUCGAGUGGCGAACGGGUGAGUAACACGUGUGUAACAUCCCCUUGACUUUGGGAUAUCUUUAGGAAAAUGGGGCUAAUACCGGAUAGGAGCUCCUGCUGCACGGUGGUGAUUGGAAAGUUUCGGCGGUUGUGGAUGGUCUAGCGGGUUAUCCGCUUGUUGGUGUGGUAGGGGCUUACGAAGGCUGUGACGGAUAGCCGGCCUGGGAGGGUGACCGGCGACAAUAGUACUGAGAGACGGCGCAGUCUCCAACGGUAGGCAGUAGUGGGGAAUCUUGCGGAAUAGGCGGAAGCCUGAUGCAGCAACCCUGCGUGCGUAAAGACGUGCUUCGAGUUGUAAACCGCUUUGUACUGUGAUGAGGCCGUAGCGACGGUAAUGGAUAAAGAAGCACCGGCUAACUACGUG